CCUACGGGAGGCAGCAGUGAGGAAUAUUGGUCAAUGGCCGUAAGGCUGAACCAGCCAAGUCGCGUGAAGGAAGAAGGAUCUAUGGUUUGUAAACUUCUUUUAUAGGGGAAUAAAGGUAUCCACGUGUGGAUAUUUGCAUGUACCCUAUGAAUAAGCAUCGGCUAACUCCGUGCCAGCAGCCGCGGUAAUACGGGGGAUGCGAACGUUAUCCGGUUUUCUUGGGGUUAAAGGGUGCGUAGGUUGUUUUUAAAGCAGCGGGGAAAGUUUUGGGCUCAACCAUAAAAUUGCCGUUGAAACUGGAAGACUUGAGUGUGUUUGAGGAAGGCGGAAUGCGUGGUGUAGCGGUGAAAUGCAUAGAUAUCACGCAGAACUCCGAUUGCGAAGGCAGCUUACUAAGCCAUAACUGACACUGAAGCACGAAAGCGUGGGGAUCAAACAGGAUUAGAUACCCCUGUAGUC
rnacentral:rRNA from 1 species